rnacentral:rRNA from 1 species
UGGGGAAUAUUGGACAAUGGGCGCAAGCCUGAUCCAGCCAUGCCGCGUGAACGAUGAAGGCCUUAGGGUUGUAAAGUUCUUUUGUCAGGGAAGAUAAUGACGGUACCUGAAGAAUAAGCACCGGCUAACUUCGUGCCAGCAGCCGCGGUAAUACGAAGGGUGCUAGCGUUGUUCGGAAUUAUUGGGCGUAAAGGGUGCGUAGGUUGUUUGAUAAGAUAUAUGUGAAAUACCUGGGCUCAACCUGGGAAGGUCAUAUAAGACUGUCAGACUCGAGUAUGGGAGAGGGUAGAGGAAUUUCCGGUGUAGCGGUGAAAUGCGUAGAUAUCGGAAGGAACAUCGGUGGCGAAGGCGUCUACCUGGCCUAAUACUGACACUGAGGCACGAAAGCGUGGGGAGCAAACAGGAUUAGAUACCCUAGUAGUCCCUGAGCGGGCUGGCAAGGCGCAU